rnacentral:rRNA from 1 species
AACGAACGCUGGCGGCAUGCCUAACACAUGCAAGUCGAACGAGAUCUUCGGGUCUAGUGGCGCACGGGUGCGUAACGCGUGGAAAUCUGCCCUUUGGUUCGGAAUAACAGUUGGAAACGACUGCUAAUACCGGAUGAUGACGAAAGCCCAAAGAUUUAUCGCCAGAGGAUGAGCCCGCGUAGGAUUAGCUAGUUGGUGUGGUAAAGGCGCACCAAGGCGACGAUCCUUAGCUGGUCUGAGAGGAUGAUCAGCCACACUGGGACUGAGACACGGCCCAGACUCCUACGGGAGGCAGCAGUGGGGAAUAUUGGACAAUGGGCGAAAGCCUGAUCCAGCAAUGCCGCGUGAGUGAUGAAGGCCUUAGGGUUGUAAAGCUCUUUUACCCGGGAUGAUAAUGACAGUACCGGGAGAAUAAGCUCCGGCUAACUCCGUGCCAGCCGCCGCGGAA